GACGAACGCUGGCGGCGUGCUUAACACAUGCAAGUCGAACGGAAAGGCCCUGCUUUUGUGGGGUGACGGAGGGGGAAAGGGGGGAGUAACAGGUAAAUAACCGGCCCUACACUUUGGGAUAACUUCAGGAAACUGGGGCUAAUCCCGGAUAGGAGCUCAUCUUGCAUGGUGGGGGUGGGAAAGUUUCUGCGGUUGGGGAUGGACUCGCGGCUUAUCAGCUUGUUGGUGGGGUAGUGGCUUACCAAGGCAUUGACGGGUAGCCGGCCUGAGAGGGUGACCGGCCACAUUGGGACUGAGAUACGGCCCAGACUCCUACGGGAGGCAGCAGUGGGGAAUAUUGCACAAUGGGCGGAAGCCUGAUGCAGCAACGCCGCGUGCGGGAUGACGGCCUUCGGGUUGUAAACCGCUUUCGCCUGUGACGAAGCGUGAGUGACGGUAAUGGGUAAAGAAGCACCGGCUAACUACGUG
rnacentral:rRNA from 1 species